UAGUGGAAUCACAUCACUAAUGCACCAGAUCCCAUCAGAACUCUGCAGUCAAGCGUGCUUGGGCGAGAGUAAAAACGAUCGUGAAAUAGUGUUGUGUAGCGAGUUUCGCGUU
rnacentral:rRNA from 1 species